ACUACGAAAAAAUAUAUUAGAGGGCCUCAGUUGGCUAAAAAAAAUCAGAAAACGAAAACCUACAAGUGGUUGAGUUUUCUGGGUGCAGCAGCUUCGUAGGCUCACCUUCGCGGCUGGAGUUUUUUCUUCAGUCAACUUGUAGAAAACAGAAUGGUGAAUACAACGGUGAAAAAAUCACACAAAAGAAAAAAUGGGAAGGGGUUCAUCCAAGGAGGUUGCGAGUUUUGCCUUCGCCGGGGUUUGCCAAUGGUUUUUGACU
rnacentral:lncRNA from 1 species